UCCUGCGGACAAAGAAAGACCAAUGAGAGAGCGCUAAGGAUAACUGCAGGGGACACAUAACCAAUAGUGAAUUAGUAGACUGUACUUUUAAAAUUGUCCUGGGCAACUCGGAUGUGGAGUACGUCGGCUGGAGGGAGCAGAGACGUACAGGGUUGUAUUGAGAGGGACCCGAGACCCAGGUGUUUGUACUAGUUUUGAGGGAAUAAAUCCACUCGCGUGUGAAAACCCCGGCUUCCUGGUCCUUUCUCUUGCAGAACGAGCACGCAAAUUGUUGGAUGAGUGGUGGUCGGGUAAGGUCACAAUUUGGAGUCAGAUGAUUAACGGACUUUUGUAUUGAUCUAAAAUAAUAUCCAACAAUUCUUGGUGACCCCGACGUGAUGCAAGAAGGGUAAAGAAGUCUGGGACUUAGCGAAAACCACUCGGGGUCUGGGACCCACGUCCACACCAGGUCACGACCUGAUAAGAAAGCCCCGAAUCUGACCUUCCUUCCUCCUGUGGCCACAUCGAAAAGAGUCCAGUGGGGGUGGAGGGGCUGCCAGCUGAUACGACACUGAGUCCAAUGAGGGUGGAGUAACUACCUGCUGUUAGAGACUGUGUCUCGUGGGGGGCUGCCUCUUGACCUGGACAACCAACCGACAGAUUCCAGAGUAUGUGCAUCAGAUGCGUGAGCUGCUGGAGCUGGCCCAGCUCAUCACCAGAGAAGCCCUGGGCGGGCUAAAAGACAACAUGAUGGGAAUUGCUGCCACACGCAGUACAAGAACGGAGAUCCUGUGUGGUAUCUUGUGAAAGGGACGUGCCAUGUGAAGAAUAAACUGAAGAAACUCCUCCCAUCGUAUGUAGACGACUUGGUCUACCUAAUCUAGAAGAACCUGGGAGUCAAGAUGAAAGUUGUCCACCAUGAUCAGCUGAAGCAUUACCGCUGCUCUGACCCCAUGGACAUCACCUGAGCUCUGUACCAAGGACAAGAAUUGAGACCCACAGAGCAUCUACCGCCAGCCUUGGAGGAGGACAUGGUAUACCAUGAUAUGCGACUGCAAGACCUGUUCUUCACUAUGAGGGAUGCUGGUCUUAGUGCCAAUCCUCCCUCCAUCCCCACUGCGACAGAAUCCACUCCGGUUGUUCCCAGCCCAUCCUCCACUUGUCAUGCACUGGAUGAGUGGGGGAUGAAGCCCCAGCUGAUGGUCCUGAAAGGGCUUCCAUCUGCUGCAACAUCACAAUGAAGACCUGGACGGUUGCAGACAGAUGAGCGUGACAGGGACUGGAGGCGACAUGCAUUACGGAAACAACAGCAAUGUGGGAAUAAGCUAUUAGGGACAAAUAGCACCUUCGCAGAUAUAUGGUGGAUGGUUCCAUUUGCAUACUGGUAAUAAUGUACAUCAUUAAGGUGCACAAAUACACUCACAAUAUCUAUACAUCUCAUCAUUUUAUUCAUUUUUUUCUUUAACUUCUGCAAGAAGUACUGAUUUCAGAGGGAAGACAGAGCGGUCAUUACUGAGCCCAUUUCAAGUCCAUUCGGUGUUCUAAAUUGUGCAGUUUACAAGGCGAAUGAUCGGCAGCACCUGAUCGUUGUCAUACAAAAAUUCUCAAAGGAUUUCUCAAUCUGUGAGCCUUUUUUUACUAGGUUGCCAAACUAUUAAUAGACAUUGACUUUUCAUAGCCCCACCUAAAAAAAGA